UGAUGUUUUGUUUCCAGAGGACAGCACGGGAGUGAGGGCAGCGACUUCCGUUUCUGUGUUCACACAUUAGAUGAACCUUCAUUUACAUUAUUUAUUUUGCUGUUCUCUUUAUUUAACGAGCACUUUACAUACAGCGUAAGUAUUAAUAGGACACCGCAGCGAAAGCGCUGGCGCGUGAGAUGAAAUGACAACGUCAACGCUGCAGAAAGCGAUUGAGCUGGUCACUAAAGCCACGGAGGAGGACAAGGCCAAGAACUACGAGGAGGCACUGAGGCUUUACCAGCAUGCUGUGGAGUAUUUCCUGCACGCUAUCAAAUAUGAGGCGCACAGCGACAAGGCGAAGGAAAGCAUCCGCGGGAAGUGCAUGCAGUAUCUGGACAGAGCCGAGAAGCUCAAGGAGUACUUGAAAAACAAGGACAAGCAGGGCAAGAAACCCGUGAAGGAAACGCAGAGCAACGACAAAAGUGACAGUGACAGCGAGGGAGAAAAUCCCGAGAAAAAGAAGCUCCAGGAGCAUCUGAUGGGCGCGAUCGUGAUGGAGAAGCCCAACGUGAGGUGGAGCGACGUGGCCGGACUGGAAGGGGCAAAAGAAGCCCUGAAAGAAGCUGUCAUUCUGCCCAUCAAGUUCCCUCACCUGUUCACAGGCAAGCGCACUCCGUGGAGGGGCAUUCUUCUGUUCGGGCCCCCCGGCACGGGAAAGUCUUACCUGGCCAAAGCUGUGGCCACCGAGGCCAACAACUCCACCUUCUUCUCCGUGUCUUCCUCGGACCUCAUGUCCAAGUGGCUCGGCGAGAGCGAGAAGCUGGUGAAGAAUCUGUUUGAUCUGGCUCGCCAGCACAAGCCGUCCAUCAUCUUCAUAGAUGAGGUGGACUCGCUCUGCGGCUCCAGAAACGAGAACGAGAGCGAGGCUGCUCGCAGGAUCAAGACGGAGUUCCUGGUUCAGAUGCAGGGUGUCGGGAACAACAACGACGGGAUAUUAGUUCUCGGCGCUACUAACAUUCCUUGGGUGCUCGACGCCGCUAUCCGCAGAAGGUUUGAGAAGCGCAUCUACAUCCCGCUUCCCGAGGAGCCGGCCAGAGCCGCCAUGUUUCGCCUGCAUCUGGGAAACACGCCUCACAGCCUGACCGAGGCGGACCUGCGUCAGCUGGCCCGUAAAACAGACGGAUACUCCGGAGCUGACAUCAGCAUCAUAGUCCGGGACGCUCUCAUGCAGCCGGUCAGGAAAGUGCAGUCCGCCACGCACUUCAAGAAGCUCAUCAUUCCGAGAAGCGAUGUGUGCUCUGAUUGGCCGCCUACUGAAACUGAGCCGAUCCAGACGAAUGACGUCUCUGCAUUUAAUAACGACAUGCCUUUAGGUGCGCGGCCCGUCCCGCAGUAAUAGCUCUUUGACGGUGGAUGACCUCCUGACCCCAUGCUCGCCCGGCGACCCCGAUGCCGUAGAGAUGACCUGGAUGGAUGUUCCCGGUGACAAACUGCUGGAGCCCAUAGUGUGCAUGUCGGACAUGCUGCGUUCUCUGGCGACCACGCGGCCCACCGUCAACACAGAAGACCUGCUGAAGGUGAAGAAGUUCACGGAGGAUUUUGGACAGGAGGGCUGAAGCACGGCGGCGCCACUCGAUCCAGUGUAGCCGACCCAACUCAACCAGGACUGUCUACUCGAAUCUAAACCCGCAGCCCGACCCAGUCUGACAUCUCUAACACUACACACCACAUCACAGCCAGCAGACUGGAGAGAGCAUGAAGCUUGCCGUAAAUUGUUUUGUUUACAUCGGCGAGCGGUUACAUUUGUUGGAAGCAUUUUGUCUGUCGGCCCUUUAUUCGAAACCGGCUACAUGCGUCAGAGCUCUCGCCGAUGAGUAUUUAUGUUAAUUUAUUCUCCGUUUUUGGAUCGUUUUGAGCGCAGACCAAUUUGAGCUUUCGCGUCCAUCUUAGUCUUUGCAGCACUUUACUGUAUAAACGCGGUCCGGGUGGAUCUCUCAAAGACGUGUCUGGGUCACACUAAACCUCACUAUUAAACGUAUAUAUGUAUAUAUGGAAAGAAAAUUAAGCCUGUUUGAACACAAUUUAGUUGUGUAAAUGAUUUUUCUUUUUAAAUCUCUAAAGUAAUUGAGAUUUGCUUUCUGAAGUUUCACAAUGCAAAAAAAAAAAAUCGGCUCGAUGUUGUUUAAAAAAUUUCAAGCCUUUUUUUUUUUAUAAAAAAAAAACAUUUCUAUUUGAGUCUGGACUGAAAUAUGACCCGGCCGUGUGUUUGACAGAGUCACCCACCGACGUUUCACUCAUUUAAAAGUUCCGAUCGAGCAGAUGUGUUGUAAUAAAAGUGUGUUACAGCUGUCGUUAAUUUUUGAAGGAUAACAUUAACCUGAUCUGAUUAAAAAAAAAAUCAAAAAAUAAA